CCUACGGGAGGCAGCAGUGAGGAAUAUUGGUCAAUGGACGAGAGUCUGAACCAGCCAAGUCGCGUGAAGGAUGACUGCCCUAUGGGUUGUAAACUUCUUUUAUCUGGGAAUAAAAUGUUCCACGUGUGGGAUUUUGUAUGUACCAUAUAAAUAAGGAUCGGCUAACUCCGUGCAAGCAGCCGCGGUAAUACGGAGGUUCCGAGCGGUAUCCGGAUUGAUUGGGUUUAAAGGGAGCGUAGGUGGAUUGUUAAGUCAGUUGUGAAAGUUUGCGGCUCAACCGUAAAAUUGCAGUUGAAACUGGCAGUCUUGAGUACAGUAGAGGUAGGCGGAAUGCGUGGUGUAGCGGUGAAAUGCUUAGAUAUCACGAAGAACUCCGAUUGCGAAGGCAGUUCACUGGACUGCAACUGACACUGAGGCUCGAAAGUGUGGGUAUCAAACAGGAUUAGAUACCCGAGUAGUC
rnacentral:rRNA from 1 species